GAUGAACGCUAGCGGGAGGCUUAACACAUGCAAGCCGAGGGGUAUAUAGUUUUCGGAUUAUAGAGACCGGCGCACGGGUGCGUAACGCGUAUGCAAUCUGCCUCUAUCACAGGGAUAGCCUUUCGAAAGGAAGAUUAAUACCUGAUAACAAUAGAUUAAGCAUUUGAUUUAUUUAAAAGAUUUAUCGGAUAGAGAUGAGCAUGCGUAUGAGUAGGUAGUUGGUGAGGUAACGGCUCACCAAGCCGACGAUCAUUAGGGGGCCUGAGAGGGUGAUCCCCCACACUGGUACUGAGACACGGACCAGACUCCUACGGGAGGCAGCAGUGAGGAAUAUUGGACAAUGGGUGCAAGCCUGAUCCAGCCAUCCCGCGUGAAGGAAGAAAGAUCUAUGGUCUGUAAACUUCUUUUAUAUAGGAAUAAACCUACGGACGUGUCCGUAGCUGAAGGUACUAUAUGAAUAAGCACCGGCUAACUCCGUGCCAGCAGCCGCCGCGGUAAAAC
rnacentral:rRNA from 1 species